GUCCGCACAGUAAACGAUGAUAACUAGUUGUUUGCGAUAUACAGUAAGCGACCAAGCGAAAGCGAUAAGUUAUCCACCUGGGGAGUACGCCGGCAACGGUGAAACUCAAAGGAAUUGACGGGGCCCGCACAAGCGGAGGAGCAUGUGGUUUAAUUCGAUGAUACGCGAGGAACCUUACCAGGGCUUGAAAGUUAAGGAAUGAUUAUGAAGUAGUCAGUCAGCAAUGACCUAAAACUAGGUGCUGCAUGGCUGUCGU
rnacentral:rRNA from 1 species